rnacentral:misc_RNA from 1 species
AAGUCGUAACAAGGUCUCCGUUGGCGAACCAGCGGAGGGAUCAUUACAAGAAGCCGAAAGGCUACUUCAAACCAUCGCGAACUUAUCCAAGUUGCUUCGGCGGCGCGGGGCCCCUUCACCGGGUGCCGCAGCCCCGGACCUCCCCGGAGGUACGGGGCGCCCGCCGGAGGUACGAAACUCUCCUGUAUUAUAGUGGCGUCUCUGAUUAAACAAACAAAUAAGUUAAAA